rnacentral:rRNA from 1 species
CCCUUAGAUGUUCUGGGCCGCACGCGCGCUACAAUGCUAGGUUCAACGAGUCGAUUUCGUACUUGGCCGAGAGGCCUGGUUAAUCUUCUGAAAUCCUAGCGUGCUUGGGCUUGCCUCUUGCAACUAGAGGCACCAACGAGGAAUUCCUAGUAGACGCAGGUCAUCAACCUGCAUCGAUUACGUCCCUGCCCUUUGUACACACCGCCCGUCGCUUCUACCGAUUGGUCGUCCCGGUGAACAAUCGGGAGGCCGUGCUCAUGGUCAGCAAUGGCCGGAGCGCGGUUGAACUUUUGUAAAUUUGGACGACUAGAGGAAGAAGAAGUCGUAACAAGGUUUCCGUAGGUGAACCUGCGGAAGGAUCAUUAGCGUUGAAUUGGUCUUGGUGCCAUGCGAAAAACAUGUGGAUUGUGGGCUAUGUGACCCCUCUGUGGGGGGUAUUUUGUCGCGAACUCGGGAGAAUUGGCUAAUGGAAUCAUAAAGAUAAACAAAAUACAACUCUUAGCAAUGGAUAUCUUGGUUCCCGCAACGAUGAAGAACGCAGCGAAAUGCGAUACGUAAUGCGAAUUGCAGAAUUCAGUGAAUCAUCGAAUCUUUGAACGCAAGUUGCGCUUUCGAGAGCCCUCGGAAGCAUGCCUCUCUGAGUAUCGGUUUCUAUAUCUCACACAUUGCGUUGUGGAGAAUGGGAGUUGCAGCCCGCAUGCAUCUCUUGAAGUCAGCACGUCGGCCAAAGUCCAUCGGGUUCUUGGAACGACAAUCCGUCAUGGCGCCAGAAAACCAUACACAAGAUCUCAGAUGAGGUAAGACUACCCGCCGAAUUUAAGCAUAUCAAUAAGCGGAGGA